ACUUUUCACUUUCCAGAAAUACCCUCCCACCACCGCUCUCACACACUCGAGCUCACUCUCUCGUCCCCCUCUCACCCACCCCUUCUCGCUCCCCUCCGGAUCCCCGCCGUCGCCGGCCUCUCCUCGACUCCCUUUCUCCCCACCACCACGCACCCCGUUUCCUCCCACCGCGCACCCCGUACCGUAGGUCAAAAGCUUGAUUUUUUAGGCGCCUGCGACGAGCUUCUGGGCGGCGGUGGAUCGGCGUGCGUCCACGCCGGCUUCGCAGCGGCGCUUGAUGUGGAGCGGCGCUGGAGAAGCGGAGCGGGGCUUUCUUCCUCACCUCACAGCGCCGUCCUCCUCCACGACCACGCAGCCGCAGCGGCGGAGGAGCCGAAUCCCUAGCCAGCGAGCUCAGGGAGCCAUGGGUCCAUGGGGCGACGCCAUGGAAGGGCCACCAACUAUAGCAGCGAGGAGAGGAGAAAGGGAGUAGCCUGACGGUCGUCUUCCACCUCCGCCUACGCCCUCGCCCUCCACCUCCACCUACGCCCCCGCCGGAAAUAGUACAAUGGCCAAGGAAAUAGGCAGGAGGCACCGCUUCCCGGAUGGACAUGGACAUGCUUCUCCAACUCUGCUUCUUCCUGGGUCGCCAUGGAAGAAAGCAGUAAGAAUCUAAGAAAGCCGAAGCCUUCCAGCACACUGCAGCAAUAAGAAGAGCGCAAGUCGAACAGGGACACAGCUCACACACUACGGUGGACAGAAAGGUAACUACAUUGCUGAAACAAUUGAUGAUGGCAAACCUAGGGCAUGAUGGGCACCGUUGAACAUAACAAAGGUGGAUCUCCGUCCUUUGCAGCAACAGCCGUCGCCUCGCAACAGCCGUCGAGCGAAGGUUGUGGUUCGGACGCCGAGGUUGCGGUCUAGUUGUGCUGAUUGCACAGCUGGGUCGAUGGAGCUCCUACGCGAGGAAGAACUGGCGUUUCUGUCCCUGGUGGCGACGUGCGUUGGCGGGUCGAUGGAGCUCGUUCGAUGGUUUGAUUUUUGGUAGAUUUUUUUUUUUGGUAGAUGGACCUCGUUCGUGGGUUGCUGAACUGUUUUGUUUGUUGGCUGGGCGUGUGAUCGUGGGGUUUGGCUCGUUUGACUGGUGGUCCAUGGGCCGAAUAUCGGAUGAGUUGCCCUUGUUUUUUUUGGGCUUGCGGGA